rnacentral:rRNA from 1 species
GAAUGCUGGCGGCAUGCCUAAUACAUGCAAGUCGAGCGGCAGCAUGGGUCUCAUCCUGUUCAUGAAGCGAUUCGAGAAUAGAAUGAGACCUGAUGGCGAGCGGCGGACGGCUGAGUAACGCGUGGGAACGGACCCCAAACUGAGGGAUAACUACUCGAAAGAGUGGCUAAUACCGCAUGUGAUCUUCGGAUUAAAGGAUUUAUCCGGUUUGGGACUGGCCUGCGUACGAUUAGAUAGUUGGUGAGGUAAUGGCUCACCAAGUCGACGAUCGUUAGAUGGUUUGAGAGGAUGAUCAUCCAGACUGGGACUGAGACACGGCCCAGACUCCUACGGGAGGCAGCAGUAGGGAAUCUUUCACAAUGGGCGAAAGCCUGAUGGAGCCAAUGCCGCGUGCAGGACGAAGGCCUUCGGGUUGUAAACUGCUUUUAUAAGCGAGGAAUAUGACGGUAACUUAUGAAUAAGGAUCGGCUAACUACGUGCCAGCAGCAGC